rnacentral:lncRNA from 1 species
CCCGCUCCGCCGCUCCGCCGAGAGGCGCCGAGGAUGGCCCGGCCCCGGCCCCGGGCGCCGCCGCCGCCGCUGCUUCUGCUGCUGCUGCUCCGCGCCCCGGCACCGGGCACCGGGCAAGCAGGUGGGCACCGGGCAGCUUGGGGACACCGGGGCGCACGCGAGGAGCGGGGAGCUGGGGGGGACCGGGGCGUGCGGAGGGAGCGGGAGCUCGGGGAGCCGGGGCCGGGGAGGGCACCGGGAGCGCUCGGGGGCACCGGGGUGCGGUGGAACCGGGAGCGCCCGGGAGGGUCCCGGCAGCGGCGGGGACGGGGCUGGUUCGCGCUACCGGGUGCUGGGGGGGUCCCGGAGCAAACGGGGGGAAAGCGGACCCGGGGGUGCGGCCGGUGCCGGCAGCCCCCCGCGCCCCCUUCCCCGGGACCCCCGUCCCGUGCCCGCUGCCCCGACCCGGGGGCAGCCUCGGCCCCGCUGUGUGCGCCCAGGGGGGCUCCGGUCCCGGCACAACGCGCGGGGCUCUCCCCGUGCCCCCGUCCCGUCCCUCCCGGCACCGAGCCCCCCCCGCGGUGCAGGCACCUGCGCCCCCCGCAGCUGCCGGGGCUAUUUCGGGCCGUGCCGGGAUCCGGCCCGGGGUGGGGGCGGCACAGCCGGAGCCCCCCAGGACCCCCGGCCCCGCCGCUGCGGGAGGGUUGGGGCGCAGCUCCCGGAAGGAUCGGGCCGCCCGGGAGUUGUUUUUCAACCCCAAAAGGAAAACACCGAGGGCAGGACGCGAAGGUGGGGCCGGGCGCGGCGGUGGCGAACGUGCGAGGUGUGCGCGGCGCCCGCGGCCCCGUGGCGGCACCGGCACCGGCACCGGCCAUGUGCCACCGGCCCUGCCCCGGGCUGCUCCCGCACGACGGCCGGGGGGCACUGCGGGACCGGGGGGCUCUCCGGGACCGGGGGGCACUCCAGGACCGGGCGCGCACCGGCACCAGGUGCCGGCUCCCCGGGGUGCCGCGGGUGGCUCCCGCUCGGGGACCCCCCGGUGCCGGUCCCGGGAUGAGCAGCGCCGGCUCCGCGCCCCCCUCCGACCCCACCCGCAGCCCCCCGGUCCCGUCUCAGAGCCCGGCUUUGUUCGGAGCCGGGAUCCGGCCCCCCGGCAGCGGCCGCCCCCGCGCACACAGCCCCCUUUGUGCCGCCCGCGGGACCGGGGGCAGGAGGUCGGGGUCCCCGGUCCCUUCCCCGCCUCCCCCAGCCCCCACCGGCGGGGCCGGGCCCCGGUGCUAUUCCUGGCGGGGGGCCGGGGGGGCCGCGGAGGCACGCGGGCAGAUAGCAGCGGCGUGCCGGAGCUGCCGGCGGGGGCCGCGCUGAUAACGCCCGGCGGGGCCGGCGCCAGCCCCCUCCCCGCCGCGGGCAGGUGCACGCAG